rnacentral:hammerhead_ribozyme from 1 species
AUCCAGCUGACGAUUCCAAAUAGAACGAAAUGCGCAUCCUGGAU